rnacentral:rRNA from 1 species
AUUGAACGCUGGCGGCAGGCCUAACACAUGCAAGUCGAGCGGAUGAGAGGAGCUUGCUUCUCGAUUCAGCGGCGGACGGGUGAGUAAUGCCUAGGAAUCUGCCUGGUUGUGUGGGACAACGUUUCGAAAGGAACGCUAAUACCGCAUACGUCCUACGGGAGAAGGCAGGGGACCUUCGGGCCUUGCGCUAUCAGAUGAGCCUAGGUCGGAUUAGCUAGUUGGUGAGGUAAUGGCUCACCAAGGCGACGACCCGUAACUGGUCUGAGAGGAUGGUCAGUCACACUGGAACUGAGACACGGUCCAGACUCCUACGGGAGUCAGCAGUGGGGAAUAUUGGACAAUGGGCGAAAGCCUGAUCCAGCCAUGCCGCGUGUGUGAAGAAGGUCUUCGGAUUGUAAAGCACUUUAAGUUGGGAGGAAGGGUUGUAGAUUAAUACUCUGCAAUUUUGACGUUACCGACAGAAUAAGCACCGGCUAACUCUGUGCCAGCCGCCGCGGUAAGAC